AUGUUGUCUGAAAGAGAGGUUAGCGCUCCCCUUAACAAAGGUGAAAGAGUCCCUCAGGCCUGACAACACAUAUGCAGUUAAGGCAUUGCCACCUACUUGGUGGCAUCUAACCAUGUAAGUGC